UCCCAGACUCCUACGGGAGGCAGCAGUGGGGGAUAUUGCACAAUGGGGGGAACCCUGAUGCAGCGACGCCGCGUGGGUGAAGGAGCGUUUCGGCGCGUAAAGCCCUAUCGGCAGGGAAGAAGGAGGACGGUACCUGACUAAGAAGCCCCGGCUAACUACGUGCCAGCAGCCGCGGGAAUACGUAUGGUGCAAGCGUUAUCCGGAUUUACUGGGUGUAAAGGGAGCGCAGGCGGCGCGUUAAGCCUGGUGUGAAAGCCCGCGGCCCAACCGCGGGACUGCAUUGGGAACUGGCGCGCUGGAGUGCCGGAGGGGUAGGCGGAAUUCCUAGUGUAGCGGUGAAAUGCGUAGAUAUUAGGAGGAACACCAGUGGCGAAGGCGGCUUGCUGGACGAUGACUGACGUUGAGGCUCGAAAGCGUGGGGAGCAAACAGGAUUAGAUACCCUCGUAGCU
rnacentral:rRNA from 1 species